rnacentral:rRNA from 1 species
AUUGAACGCUGGCGGCAGGCCUAACACAUGCAAGUCGAACGAGUGGCGGACGGGUGAGUAAUGUCUGGGAAACUGCCUGAUGGAGGGGGAUAACUACUGGAAACGGUAGCUAAUACCGCAUACCAUCAGAUGUGCCCAGAUGGGAUUAGCGUGUUGGUGGGGUAACGGCUCACCAAGGCGACGAUCCCUAGCUGGUCUGAGAGGAUGACCACCCACACUGAGACUGAGACACGGUCCUAACUCCUACGAUAGGCAGCAGUGGGGAGUAUUGCACAAUGGGCGCAAGCCUGAUGCAGCCAUGCCGCGUGUAUGACGAAGGCCUUCGGGUUGUAAAGUUCUUCCAUCGGGGAGGCGUUACCCGCAGAAGAAGCACCGGCUAACUCCGUGCCAGCAGCCGCGGUAAUUC